CGGGCAAACAGAGUCAUCUCCUCCACGUACGGGGAAAGCGCGGCGAAUCCCAACAACCUCUCCCAAAAGAUCUCCAGUUGGUCGAGCCCCUGCCCUAUAUUAGCAAGCCAAACUCUGGGCGCCCUCCCUCGUCCAUCCUGUACCACCACCGUCGUGAUCGGAGCACGAAACCAAGCCGAGCGAACACCAGUCAUCAAGCGGGCGAGUCGUCGUGAAAGAGAGAGGCGCCGCCGUGGGUGGGAUCGCCGAUUCGUUGAUGUUGGGAAUCCCGGUGCGAGCCUGGGAGCGUCAAGAAAGGCUUGAGGAAUCUGCAGGGCGUGUCGUCGCGCGGGGAGAUUGUCCUGACCCCGGGAAAUUCCUCUCCGGGGAUCGGUAUCGCGGCUUAGCCGCCGUGUGCCGGCGAUGCGAGUCUGCGCUUCAUGGCUGUCGAAGUGUGGUGGCGAGAAAUCUGAAGACCCACUUGGUGAAGCACCUGGAAUCGCAAGUAUAAGGCAAGCUAUGCCCUUGAUCACUCUUCUUUAACUAAUAUUGUUCCUAUUAAUCGCUGUGACAUGCUCAGGUUAACUUGAUUGGAGGCUCGAUCUAGGAAGAAGCUAUAAGGCAGAAUAAUCGAUGUCGAUUAGAGGCUAGAAUCGGCACUAAAGUUAAGAAUUUAGUACCAGUUGGUUGAUAGAACAUAUACUUAAUAUAGUAGUACCGAUUUAUGUAUGAAACUAUUAUUAAAUCCUUAACUUUAGUACCGGUUCUAAACACCAAUGGUACUAAACCCAAUGGCAGGUGCAACCGGUAAUGAACCUUCCAUUAA